AAAGCAUUAAGGUGUUUUUCGUAAAGAAAAAAGAAUAGGGAAUGCGGUGUAAAUCCGCAGCAGCACCCACUACUGUAACUUGGACAAAAUAUUUCUGGACCAUAUGGCCCGCCACUGGCUGAAUGCUGGGAAGGCUUGGAAUAUAGCGGAUGAAAAGAAGUCAGGAGACCUGCCUUAGUGCG
rnacentral:ncRNA from 1 species